GUUUUAUUUAUUUAUUUUUAAGUUUUUGGCCAUUUGCUAAACAAAACUGAAUUAAAGCCUGGACACUUUGUAAAGGCUUCUUUUUGCCUGCUCCUCCAACAGCGUGCUGACAUUUUAGCAUUAGUGGCUCUGUCAGAGUGUGAAAGAAUCAACCCUUACCGUCCCCCCAUAACACCCCAGGAUAGAACUCUGUCUGCGAGGUAUGUGUGUUUUGUGGUUUCUCUGCACCAAGCAACGUUGUUUUUCAUUCAGUCCUGUUACCUGCUGUGUGGCACUGGGAAUGAAAGCACCGUGUAGACUUUCAGCUCCUCUAAAUCCACUCAAGAUGACUCUGUAACAAGAGUGUCAAAGUUCAGAUCAGACAAUAUUCUUGCUCGGUCUUUUCACAAAACCACUGUGCUGUCCAAUUGCAUCACUUUGCAGCCAUCCGUGCUCCAUCACCCAGCCUAG
ensembl:lncRNA